UACGGGGGGAGCAAGCGUUGUUCGGAUUUACUGGGCGUAAAGGGCGCGUAGGCGGCGCAACAAGUCACUUGUGAAAUCUCCGGGCUUAACCCGGAGCGGCCAAGUGAUACUGUCGUGCUAGAGUGCGGAAGGGGCUACUGGAAUUCUCGGUGUAGCGGUGAAAUGCGUAGAUAUCGAGAGGAACACCAGAUGCGCAAGCGAAUUACUGGACAGAACCGGACGCUGAGGCACUAAAGCGAGGGGAGCAAACGGG
rnacentral:rRNA from 1 species